GACGAACGCUGGCGGCGCGCCUAACACAUGCAAGUCGAACGAGCGAGAGAGAGCUUGCUUUCUCGAGCGAGUGGCGAACGGGUGAGUAACGCGUGAGGAACCUGCCUCAAAGAGGGGGACAACAGUUGGAAACAGCUGCUAAUACCGCAUAAUGCAACGGAAUCGCAUGACUCUGUUGCCAAAGAUUUAUCGCUCUGAGAUGGCCUCGCGUCUGAUUAGCUAGUUGGUGGGGUAACGGCCCACCAAGGCGACGAUCAGUAGCCGGUCUGAGAGGAUGAACGGCCACAUUGGGACUGAGAUACGGCCCAG
rnacentral:rRNA from 1 species